UUGGGUUGUAAACCCCUUUUCUCAGGGAAGAAGAAAGUGACGGUACCUGAGGAAUCAGCCUCGGCUAACUCCGUGCCAGCAGCCGCGGUAAUACGGAGGAGGCAAGCGUUAUCCGGAAUGAUUGGGCGUAAAGCGUCCGCAGGUGGCUCAUCAAGUCUGCUGUUAAACCCAGUAGCUUAACUACUGACCAGCAGUGGAAACUGAUGAGCUAGAGUGCGGUAGGGGCAGAGGGAAUUCCUGGUGUAGCGGUGAAAUGCGUAGAGAUCAGGAAGAACACCGGUGGCGAAAGCGCUCUGCUGGGCCGCAACUGACACUCAGGGACGAAAGCUAGGGGAGCGAAUGGGAUUAGAUACCCCAGUAGUCCUAGCUGUAAACGAUGGAGACUAGGUGUUGCCUGUAUCGACCCGGGCAGUGCCGUAGCUAACGCGUUAAGUCUCCCGCCUGGGGAGUACGCACGCAAGUGUGAAACUCAAAGGAAUUGACGGGGGCCCGCACAAGCGGUGGAGUAUGUGGUUUAAUUCGAUGCAACGCGAAGAACCUUACCAGGGCUUGACAUGUCCGGAACUCUGGGGAAACUCGGAGGUGCCUUCGGGAGCCGGAACACAGGUGGUGCAUGGCUGUCGUCAGCUCGUGUCGUGAGAUGUUGGGUUAAGUCCCGCAACGAGCGCAACCCUCGUUCUUAGUUGCCAGCAUUAAGUUGGGCACUCUAGGGAGACUGCCGGUGACAAACCGGAGGAAGGUGGGGAUGACGUCAAGUCAUCAUGCCCCUUACGUCCUGGGCGACACACGUACUACAAUGGGGAGGACAAAGGGCAGCCAACUUGCGAAAGUGAGCUAAUCCCAGAAACCUUUCCUCAGUUCAGAUUGCAGGCUGCAACUCGCCUGCAUGAAGGAGGAAUCGCUAGUAAUCGCAGGUCAGCAUACUGCGGUGAAUCCGUUCCCGGGCCUUGUACACACCGCCCGUCACACCAUGGAAGUUAACCAUGCCCGAAGUCAUUACUCUAACCCAAUUGGGAGGGGAAUGCCGAAGGCAGGG
rnacentral:rRNA from 1 species